UCCCAGGUGAAAACGACAUGAUGAUGUAAGGAAAGAACCACAUGGCAGUGCUGGCACCAGUGGCAGUCCCCAGAAAGGCUGCACCACAGCAAUAAUGGAGACUGUGAUGCAUGAUGGGAGGCGGCAGAUACCCAAGAAACUCAGCAAUGAGGUCCACUCAGGACUAUCCCAUACAGUCUGCUUUGUCUUGGGCUCCAGUCACAUCAGCCCAUAAGAAUACUGAUUUCAAGUUCAAGAGUAGUUAUUCUGAUCAGAGGAUAAAAUAACAACUUAAAAUGAAGUCUCUGAUGGAAAUCAGGCCAACUGAUUGAAAUAAAUUUAAAAAGAAAUCCUACCUCA
rnacentral:lncRNA from 1 species